rnacentral:rRNA from 1 species
UACGGAGGGGGCUAGCGUUGUUCGGAAUUACUGGGCGUAAAGCGCACGUAGGCGGCUUUGUAAGUUAGAGGUGAAAGCCCAGGGCUUAACCCUGGAAUUGCCUUUAAGACUGCAUCGCUAGAAUUGUGGAGAGGUAAGUGGAAUUCCGAGUGUAGAGGUGAAAUUCGUAGAUAUUCGGAGGAACACCAGUGGCGAAGGCGGCUCACUGGCUCGACACUGACGCUGAGGUGCGAAAGCGUGGGGAGCAAACAGG